rnacentral:rRNA from 1 species
CACGGGGGGAGCAAGCGUUGUUCGGAAUCACUGGGCGUAAAGGGCGUGUAGGCGGUCAAGUAAGUGGAAUGUGAAAUCCCCCGGCUUACCCGGGGACCUGCAUCCCAAACUGCUUGGCUUGAGUAUGGGAGAGGAUGAGGGAAUUCCUGGUGUAGCGGUGAAAUGCGUAGAUAUCAGGAGGAACACCGGUGGCGAAAGCGCUCAUCUGGCCCAAUACUGACGCUGAUGCGCGAAAGCUAGGGGAGCAAACGGG